CGUCUCCCGCAAGGGAGGCGGGUUCCUAGCGGCGAACGGGUGAGUAACACGUGAGCAACCUGUCCCGAAGUGGGGGAUAACACCGAGAAAUCGGUGCUAAUACCGCGUGUGGUCGGUGGGGGCAUCCCCGCCGAAGAAAGCAGUGAUGCGCUUUGGGGUGGGCUCGCGGCCUAUCAGCUAGUCGGUGGGGUAACGGCUCACCGAGGCAUUGACGGGUAGCUGGUCUGAGAGGACGACCAGCCACACGGGGACUGAGACACGGCCCCGACUCCUACGGGAGGCAGCAGUGAGGAAUCUUCCGCAAUGGGCGCAAGCCUGACGGAGCGACGCCGCGUGUGGGAUGAAGUCUCUCGGGAUGUAAACCACUGUCGGAGGGGAAGAGAAUGGACGGUACCCUCCAAGAAAGCCCCGGCUAACUACGUGCCAGCCGCCGCCGUAACAC
rnacentral:rRNA from 1 species